rnacentral:tRNA from 2 species
GGUUGUAUAGCGCAAUAAUAACGCACUUGUUUUUGUAACGGGAAGUCCUGGGUUUAACUCCCGGUGCGACCU